rnacentral:rRNA from 1 species
GUAGGUGGCAAGCGUUGUCCGGAAUUAUUGGGCGUAAAGCGCGCGCAGGCGGUUCGUUUAAGUCUGAUGUGAAAGCCCACGGGCUCAACCGUGGAGGGUCAUUGGAAACUGGAGAACUUGAGUACAGAAGAGGAAAGCGGAAUUCCACGUGUAGCGGUGAAAUGCGUAGAGAUGUGGAGGAACACCAGUGGCGAAGGCGGCUUUCUGGUCUGUAACUGACGCUGAGGCGCGAAAGCGUGGGGAGCAAGCAGGAUUAGAUACCCUGGUAGUCCACGCCGUAAACGAUGAGUGCUAAGUGUUAGGGGGUUUCCGCCCCUUAGUGCUGCAGCUAACGCAUUAAGCACUCCGCCUGGGGAGUACGGCCGCAAGGCUG